rnacentral:rRNA from 1 species
AUCCGGGCUUUUGCCCGGUGCACUCUUCUGCUGUCAGGCCAGCAUCGGUUCGGGCGGUCGGAUAAAGGCUUCGGGAAUGUAGCUCCUCUCGAGGAGUGUUAUAGCCCGUUGCGAAAUGCGGCCAGCCUGAACUGAGGUCCGCGCUUCGGCUAGGAUGCUGGCGUAAUGGUUGUAAGCGGCCCGUCUUGAAACACGGACCAAGGAGUCUAACAUCUGUGCGAGUGUUUGGGUGUCAAACCCGUACGCGUAAUGAAAGUGAACGGAGGCGGGAACCCCUCGGGGUGCACCGUCGACCGAUCCUGAUGUCUUCGGAUGGAUUUGAGUAAGAGCAUAGCUGUUGGGACCCGAAAGAUGGUGAACUAUGCCUGAAUAGGGUGAAGCCAGAGGAAACUCUGGUGGAGGCUCGCAGCGGUUCUGACGUGCAAAUCGAUCGUCAAAUUUGGGCAUAGGGGCGAAAGACUAAUCGAACUAUCUAGUAGCUGGUUCCUGCCGAAGUUUCCCUCAGGAUAGCAGUAACGUUUUCAGUUUUAUGAGGUAAAGCGAAUGAUUAGAGGCCUGGGGGUUGAAACAACCUUCACCUAUUCUCAAACUUUAAAUAUGUAAGAAGUCCUUGUUACUUAGUUGAACGUGGACAUUUGAAUGUAUCGUUACUAGUGGGCCAUUUUUGGUAAGCAGAACUGGCGAUGCGGGAUGAACCGAACGCGGAGUUAAGGUGCCGGAAUGCACGCUCAUCAGACACCACAAAAGGUGUUAGUUCAUCUAG